rnacentral:rRNA from 1 species
ACACAAAGAGCAGAAGCACAAAAGAGGAAGAAGAGCAUUUACACGGGUUCAUAUUCACAAGACGAGGACAAGCUGAUUUGCCAAUGUUGGAUGGAGAUUAGCCAAGAUCCAAGGACCGUCACGUAACAAAAGGGCCUUGUUUUUUGGACAAGAGUCCACAAAACAUUCCAUGAAAGAAAGAUGUUUGAGCCCUACCAAAUUACGAGCAACCGUGGCAUCACCUUGAUUCAAAAGAGGUGGUUUUUCAUCCAACAAGAGUGCAACAAGUAUUGUGCCGCACUUGAGAGCGUUGAAGCAUGGCCCGUGAGUGGUCUUAGCAUUGGGGACUUGGUAUGCUCUUGUCAUCCUAGUUCUUUCAUUGCUACGACCAUGAGACUUCGGCCUUGUAUACGUUUGCAUGUUCAUUUGUUGUUGAUCAUGUGGUGUAGGCAUUUCAAUCUUUGGAAACAUCCAAGGCCCGACACAAUGACAAGCCAUUCACUCUUACACAUUGUUGGACGCUCAUCAACAAUUGUCCAACGUUCAAAGAUCAAUACCGUGAACUUCAAAGAAAGAGAGGCAAGAAGGCAGUCGCAUUUGCCGGAGGUGGAGAUGGUGAGGCGUUGA